AAUGGGCACUGUAACUAUGGGAAAUUUAGUUAAGGCAAUAGUAUCAGUGGUAAAGGAGAGACAUGAAUAAUUGUCAUCAAAGAUAGUGAGCAAGCUAAGAGCAAGAAAAGAAAGACUCCUAGGUGGUGGUGGUCCUCAACUAGACAAUGCAGUUGAGUCUACCAGUUGCUUUUUGGUUGCCCUGUGGAUGGCAGGAUCAUCAUCUACUCAUGACUCCCACCAAAGUGGUUUGAAUUUUAAGUUUGAGAAUGAUACACACACACACACCAAG
rnacentral:lncRNA from 10 species